rnacentral:lncRNA from 1 species
AGAAGAAAGGCUUAGAAUGAGGGAACAUGUAAUGAAUGAGGUUGAUACUAACAAAGACAGAUUGGUGACUCUGGAGGAGUUUUUGAAAGCCACAGAAAAAAAAGAAUUCUUGGAGCCAGAUAGCUGGGAGGUCAUACAGCAGAUGGAACAAAAAAAAUUACAACAAGGAAUUCCUCCAUCAGGGCCAGCUGGAGAAUUGAAGUUUGAGCCACACAUUUAAAGUCUGAAGUCCACCAGAACUUGGAAGAAAGCUGUUAACUCAACAUCUAUUUCAUCUUUUUAGCUCCCUUCCUUUUUCUCUGCUCAAUAAAUAUUUU